rnacentral:rRNA from 1 species
CCUACGGGAGGCAGCAGUGAGGAAUAUUGGUCAAUGGACGAGAGUCUGAACCAGCCAAGUAGCGUGAAGGAUGACUGCCCUAUGGGUUGUAAACUUCUUUUAUAUGGGAAUAAAAUGUUCCACGUGUGGGAUUUUGUAUGUACCAUAUGAAUAAGGAUCGGCUAACUCCGUGCCAGCAGCCGCGGUAAUACGGAGGAUCCGAGCGUUAUCCGGAUUUAUUGGGUUUAAAGGGAGCGUAGGUGGAUUGUUAAGUCAGGUGUGAAAGUUUGCGGCUCAACCGUAAAAUUGCAGUUGAAACUGGCAGUCUUGAGUACAGUAGAGGUGGGCGGAAUGCGUGGUGUAGCGGUGAAAUGCUUAGAUAUCACGAAGAACUCCGAUUGCGAAGGCAGUUCACUGGACUGCAACUGACACUGAGGCACGAAAGUGUGGGUAUCAAACAGGAUUAGAUACCCGGGUAGUC